rnacentral:lncRNA from 1 species
GAUCAAGGCGAUCCUAAUCUUAACAAUCAUGGGAAACCGCGGCUCUCCAAGUUCUACCAGCCCUAUGGAUUUGUGGAAACAUUAGACAAAUGUUUUGAAAAUGUUUGUGAACUGGAUUUGAUUUUCCAUGUAGACACGGUUCACAAUAUUCUUGCAGAAAUGAUGAUGGGGGAAUGGUAUUGGAGACAAACAUGAAUGGGAUUGUUACACAAAUUGGUGCACAAAAUAAGCUGGAAAAAUCUGAGGCUGGCUGAGGGGGAGCUUCAGCCUGUGCUGAACCUGUAUCAGCUGUAAAAAAUGUGAAUCUUCCUGAGAUCCCAAGAAAUAUUAACAUUGGUGACAUUACUAUAAAGUGCCAAACCUGCCCUCUUUUAAAUAA